rnacentral:miRNA from 1 species
CUUCCAGUAGCACCUUAGAGACCAACUAUGCUUGUUAUUGGUAUGAGCUUUCGUGUGCAUGCACACUUCUUCAGAUACUUCUUCAGGUAUCAUACCAAUAACAAACUUACUUGGUCUCUAAGGUGCUACUGGAAG